rnacentral:rRNA from 1 species
UUCCAGACUCCUACGGGAGGCAGCAGUGAGGAAUAUUGGUCAAUGGGCGGGAGCCUGAACCAGCCAAGUCGCGUGAGGGAAGACGGUCCUACGGAUUGUAAACCUCUUUUGCCGGGGAGCAACGGGGUCCUUGCGAGGGCCCGAUGAGAGUACCCGGAGAAAAAGCAUCGGCUAACUCCGUGCCAGCAGCCGCGGUAAUACGGAGGAUGCGAGCGUUAUCCGGAUUUAUUGGGUUUAAAGGGUGCGUAGGCGGCGCUUCAGGUCAGCGGUGAAAUACCGGGGCUCAACCCCGGGGCUGCCGUUGAAACCGGAGCGCUAGAAUUCCGAUGCCGUCGGAGGAAUGUGUGGUGUAGCGGUGAAAUGCAUAGAUAUCACACAGAACACCGAUUGCGAAGGCAUCUGACGAAUCGGAGAUUGACGCUGAUGCACGAAAGCGUGGGUAUCGAACAGGAUUAGAUACCCGAGUA